UCGCAAGCGCUGGGCCGCGAGGGAGACUGCCGAGCUAGAGGGUGGGAGAGGUCAGCGGUAUUCCUGGGGUAGGGGCGAAAUCCUUUGAUCCCAGGAGGACCACCAGUGGCGAAGGCUGCUGACUAGAACACGCCUGACGGUGAGGGACGAAAGCUGGGGGAGCGAAUCGGAUUAGAUACCCGAGUAGUCCCAGCCGUAAACGAUGCAGGCUAGGUGUUGGGGCGGCCACGGGCCGCCUCAGUGCCACAGGGAAGCCAUUAAGCCUGCCGCCUGGGGAGUACGGCCGCAAGGCUGAAACUUAAAGGAAUUGGCGGGGGAGCACCACCAGGCGUGAAGCCUGCGGUUUAAUUGGAGUCAACGCCGGGAACCUUACCGGGAGCGACAGCAGGGUGAAGGCCAGGCUGAAGGUCUUGCCGGACGAGCUGAGAGGAGGUGCAUGGCCGUCGCCAGUUCGUGCCGUGAGGUGUCCUCUUAAGUGAGGUAACGAACGAGACCCGCGCCCCUUGUUGCCACCAAAUCCUAAAGGGAUGUUGGGCACUCUUGGGGGACCGCUGCCGACAAGGCAGAGGAA
rnacentral:rRNA from 1 species